rnacentral:tRNA from 1 species
GCCCCUGUGGCGGAAUGGUAGACGCGACAGACUCAAAAUCUGUUGUCCGCAAGGGCGUGCUGGUUCGAGUCCGGCCAGGGGCACCA